UACGGGGGGGGCAAGCGUUGUUCGGAAUUACUGGGCGUAAAGGGCUCGUAGGUGGCCAACUAAGUCAGACGUGAAAGCCCUGGGCUCAACCCAGGAAGUGCACCCGAUACUGUCUGGCUCGAGUCCUGGAGAGGGUAGUGGAAUUCCCAGUGUAGCGGUGAAAUGCGUAGAUACUGGGAGGAACACCGGUGGCGAAGGCG
rnacentral:rRNA from 1 species